rnacentral:rRNA from 1 species
GACGAACGCUGGCGGCGUGCCUAACACAUGCAAGUCAACUUGACUGAAGGAGCAAUCUGACAGUAGAGUGGCGCAAGGGUGCGUAACGCGUAAGUAACUUGCCCAAGGUAAGGAAUAACGUCGAGAAAUCGGCGCUAAUACCUCAUAAUGCAGCGGAUCCGCAUGGAUAUGUUGUUAAAGGUUUAUCGCCUUGGGAUAGGCUUGCGUCUGAUUAGCUAGUUGGUGUGGUAACGGCACACCAAGGCUACGAUCAGUAACUGGUCUGAGAGGAUGAUCAGUCACACUGGAACUGAGACACGGUCCAGACUCCUACGGGAGGCAGCAGUGAGGAAUAUUGGGC